GACGAACGCUGGCGGCGUGCUUAACACAUGCAAGUCGAGCGGUAAGGCCUUUCGGGGUACACGAGCGGCGAACGGGUGAGUAACACGUUGGUGAUCUGCCCUGCACUUCGGGAUAAGCCUGGGAAACUGGGACUAAUACCGGAUAAGACCACCUCUCGCAUGGUGGGUGGAGGAAAGAUUUAUCGGUGCAGGAUGGGCACGCGGCCUAUCAGCUGGUUGGUGGGGUAAUGGUCCACCAAGGCGACGACGGGUAGCCGACCUGAGAGGGUGACCGGCCACACUGGGACUGAGACACGGGCAAGACUCCUACGGGAGGCAGCAGUGGGGAAUAUUGCACGAUGGGCGAAAGCCGGAUGGAGCGACGCCGCGUGGGGGAUGACGGCCUUCGGGUUGUAAACCUCUUUCAGCUGGGACGAAGCGCAAGUGACGGUACCUUCAGAAGAAGCACCGGCUAACUACGUG
rnacentral:rRNA from 1 species